rnacentral:rRNA from 1 species
GCGACCCAGGCGCACCCAGAAACCCUUUGUGAACUUAUACCUUACUGUUGCCUCGGCGCAUGCCGGCCCCCCUGGGGGCCCCUCCUUCUGGAGGAGCAGGCACGCCGGCGGCCAACCUAACUCUUGUUUUUACACUGAAACUCUGAGAAUAAAACAUAAAUGAAUCAAAACUUUCAACAACGGAUCUCUUGGUUCUGGCAUCGAUGAAGAACGCAGCGAAAUGCGAUAAGUAAUGUGAAUUGCAGAAUUCAGUGAAUCAUCGAAUCUUUGAACGCACAUUGCGCCCUCUGGUAUUCCGGAGGGCAUGCCUGUUCGAGCGUCAUUUCAACCCUCAAGCCUGGCUUGGUGAUGGGGCACUGCUUGUAAAAGGGCAGGCCCUGAAAUUCAGUGGCGAGCUCGCCAGGACCCCGAGCGCAGUAGUUAAACCCUCGCUCUGGAAGGCCCUGGCGGUGCCCUGCCGUUAAACCCCCAACUUCUGAAAAUUUGACCUCGGAUCAGGUAGGAAUACCCGCUGAACUUAAGCAUAUCAAUAAGCGGAGGAA